rnacentral:rRNA from 1 species
UUGGCGCGACGGGCGGUGUGUACAAGGCCCGGGAACGUAUUCACCGCGGCAUUCUGAUCCGCGAUUACUAGCGAUUCCUACUUCAUGGAGUCGAGUUGCAGACUCCAAUCUGGACUACGAUAGGCUUUUUGAGAUUCGCAUCACAUCGCUGUGUAGCUGCCCUCUGUACCUACCAUUGUAGCACGUGUGUAGCCCUGGUCGUAAGGGCCAUGAUGACUUGAUAUCGUCCCCGCCUUCCUCCAGUUUGUCACUGGCAGUAUCCUUAGAGUUCCCGGCUUAACCCGCUGGUAACUAAGGACAAGGGUUGCGCUCGUUGCGGGACUUAACCCAACAUCUCACGACACGAGCUGACGACAGCCAUGCAGCACCUGUAUUCUAAUUCCCGAAGGCACUCCCGCAUCUCUGCAGGAUUCUAGAUAUGUCAAGACCAGGCAAGGUUCUUCGCGUUGCAUCGAAUUAAACCACAUGCUCCACCGCUUGUGCGGGCCCCCGUCAAUUCAUUUGAGUUUUAACCUUGUGGCCGUACU